rnacentral:rRNA from 1 species
AGAGUUUGAUCCUGGCUCAGGAUGAACGCUGGCGGCGUGCCUAACACAUGCAAGUCGUACGAGCUCGAUCUUCGGAACGGGUUAGUGGCGCACGGGUGAGUAACACGUAGGUGACCUACCCCAGAGUGGGGGAUAACUUCUCGAAAGAGAGGCUAAUACCGCAUACACUCGGUCAUUCAUUUGGCCGAGCAAAGCUCCGGCGCUUUGGGACGGGCCUGCGUCCGAUUAGCUAGUUGGUAGGGUAAUGGCUUACCAAGGCUUUGAUCGGUAGCUGGUCUGAGAGGACGAUCAGCCACACUGGCACUGACACACGGGCCAGACUCCUACGGGAGGCAGCAGUGAGGAAUAUUGGGCAAUGGGCGAAAGCCUGACCCAGCAACGCCGCGUGAGGGAUGAAGGCCUUCGGGUUGUAAACCUCUUUUCUGGGAGAAGAGACAAGGACGGUAUCCCAGGAAUAAGUCUCGGCUAACUACGUG